UCUCUGCACACAGCUGCGUGCACCUUAACUGUACGAAGGCGCCAGGCCUACUCGGAACUCUAGCUCUGUACUGUGCUCUGGUACUACAUGGACUAAGUUGCUAGAUGUACUAGACUGCAAGAUGGCACACUGCUUUGACUCGGAACUAUAGAGGUUCAUGGAGUCGAGCUAUUUAAACGAGGUUAAAGAAUAUGCGUCGCAAAUUGAGAUUCAACAUCUGUCCAAAGAUAAACCACUGCUCUUUAAAAGGAAUAGUCCAAAAACAAAGCGUAACAAAGGUGCUAUCAGGAGUGAUAUGAUCGACCAGCAGUUACAGAUGUGCGUAUAUACUUACCUUCUAUCCACCACUGACCGAUUAUGUCUAUGAAAAGAUACCUAUAUAGAUUUACUUUUGAGGAAAAUUGGAAAGAAUUCGAACAAAGGAGAACAAUGUUAAGCUACAGGAGCUGGUUGAAGACUAUGCAGUCACUGGUGCAGUCACAAUCUAAUGUUCUGAAGAUAAUACUGUAAGAAGAAGGAUGCAGUACAAAUGAUAUUUGUCAAGCUGCUGCUCCACGUGGAUGACAUGCAACGUUCGUUCAAGGUAGAAAAAGUGCUAUUGAAUCUGGAUCAAUGAACUACUUCGUCAUCGUAGAGAAAGAAGUGUAUGAAGUAGACUCAUUCUAUGAAACUCUUGUACUAUGUUUUUGACAUUUUAGUACCCACGUGCAUGUCUG